UUGAGGUCAGCUACUUGGUCAGAGUUACUGUAGAUAUUGAGGUCAGCUACUUGGCUAGAGUUACUGUAGAUAUUGAGGUCAGCUACUUGGCUAGAGUUACUGUAGAUAUUG